CCACAGACCACUUCUCAGUUCCUAUGCGUCCUGGCUGAUGUUUUGGUCACUUUUAAAUGCUGGCGGUGCUUUCACUCUAGUGGUAGCAUGAGACGGAGUCUACAACCCACACAAGUGGCUCAGGUAGUGCAGCUCAUCCAGGAUGGCACAUCAAUGCGAGCUGUGGCAAGAAGGUUUGCUGUGUCUGUCAGCGUAGUGUCCAGAGCAUGGAGGCGCUACCAG